rnacentral:tRNA from 1 species
GCCUGGGAUAGCUCAGUCGGUAAAGCAUGAGACUCUUAAUCUCAGGCUCAUGGGUUCAAGCCCCAUGUUGGGUG